rnacentral:rRNA from 1 species
GACGAACCGUGCGAACGUUGUUCGGAAUCACUGGGCUUAAAGGGCGCGUAGGCGGGCUACCAAGUCUGUGGUGAAAUCCUCCAGCUCAACUGGAGAACGGCCGUGGAUACUGGGAGCCUCGAGGGAGAUAGGGGCAGGCGGAACUGAUGGUGGAGCGGUGAAAUGCGUUGAUAUCAUCAGGAACUCCGGUGGCGAAGGCGGCCUGCUGGAUCUCAUCUGACGCUGAGGCGCGAAAGCGUGGGGAGCGAACAGG